AUUGAACGCUGGCGGCAGGCCUAACACAUGCAAGUCGAACGGCAGCGGGGGAUAGCUUGCUAUCCUGCCGGCGAGUGGCGGACGGGUGAGUAAUGCAUGGGGAGCUGCCCAAUCCAGGGGGAUAACAACUGGAAACGGUUGCUAAUACCGCAUACGCCCUGCGGGGGAAAGGUGGGGACCUUCGGGCCUACCGCGAUUGGAUGCACCCAUGUGGGAUUAGCUGGUUGGUGAGGUAACGGCUCACCAAGGCGACGAUCUCUAGCUGGUCUGAGAGGAUGACCAGCCACCCUGGAACUGAGACACGGUCCAGACUCCGACGGGAGGCAGCAGUGGGGAAUAUUGCACAAUGGGGGAAACCCUGAUGCAGCCAUGCCGCGUGUGUGAAGAAGGCCUUCGGGUUGUAAAGCACUUUCAGUCGGGAGGAAGGGGAGCAAGCUAAUAACUUGCUUCAUUGACGUUACCCACAGAAGAAGCACCGGCUAACUCCGUGCCAGCCGCCGCCGUAAAAC
rnacentral:rRNA from 1 species